rnacentral:tRNA from 6 species
GCCGCUUUAGCUCAGUCGGUAGAGCGUCUCACUCGUAAUGAGAAGGUCGCGAGUUCGAUUCUCGCAAGCGGCUCAA